rnacentral:rRNA from 1 species
GAACCUUACCUGGUCUUGACAUCCUGGGAACCCUGAAGAGAUUUAGGGGUGCCGCAAGGAGCCCAGAGACAGGUGCUGCAUGGCUGUCGUCAGCUCGUGUUGUGAGAUGUUGGGUUAAGUCCCGCAACGAGCGCAACCCUUGUCCUUAGUUGCCAGCAUUAAGUUGGGCACUCUAAGGAGACCGCCGGUGACAAACCGGAGGAAGGUGGGGAUGACGUCAAGUCAUCAUGGCCUUUAUGACCAGGGCUACACACGUGCUACAAUGGUAGAUACAGAGGGUUGCCAACGCGCAAGCGGGAGCCAAUCCCAGAAAAUCUAUCGUAGUCCGGAUUGGAGUCUGCAACUCGACUCCAUGAAGUCGGAAUCGCUAGUAAUCGCAGAUCAGCAUUGCUGCUGUGAAUACGUUCCCGGGCCUUGUCACACCGA